UUGGAUCGCAUUAAAAUUAGACAGGAGAUAGGAUCAUGACUCAUCAUACUUUGCCAUCCACUCUCUUGAUGCCAAAAAUCUCAAGCCAAAUCUAAUUUGGUAUUGAGAUCCAGUGGAUGGGUCCACGGUGGCGUAAGGAUAAAGAGAUAGAGUCUCUGUUGGCUUGGACUCUUCAUUUUCAAAUUAAUUCUAAACCAAAUCAAAUCUAGUUUGAACCCAAUAUUAGAAAUAAAUCUAAUCUAAUUAAGUGUCCAAUUAUCUCAAUAAAUUUUUAGUCCAAUUAGGAAUUGCCGAGCUCAAGUCUUGAUCAAAUCAAGA
rnacentral:lncRNA from 1 species